rnacentral:lncRNA from 1 species
ACAUGCCCACACCUGUGGCUUCUGAAGCAGAGCACCAGCAGUGACAGUCCCACCAGAACCGCAUGGAAUAGAAAACUGUGCAUUUCCCUAAGGAAAGGGAAUGCCAGAGAAGGGCAGAAGGGAAAUCAGGAAGACAAAACGUGUCUUCAUGUUGGAGUGGACCUUUCCUCUAUCUGUCAACAGAAUGGAUAAAUUGUGGAAGAGUAAUAUCAGAAUACUACACAUCAGUAAAAAACAACAAACUUCUGCUACAAACAAUCAACAUCGAUGAAUCUUUCAGGCAAAAGGGCAAAGAAAAGUAUUGGUCUUCCAAAACAAAUAGAGGACGGAGCUGCUGCUGUUGCAUGGUGUCUAGAAACUCAGACAACUUCAUCAUUCCAUAUUUGCAUCCAAGAGAGAGAAAGAAAAACUACAAUCAUUUUCCAUUUACCCAUCAACCCAUCAACCUCCAAAGACAGGGUCUCACUAUGUUGCCCCAGUUGGCCUUGAACUGCUGGACUCAAGGGAUCCUCCUGCCUCAGCAUCCUGAGUAGCUGGGUCUACAGGCAUGAACCACCAGGCCCAGAACCCUGUCUUUUGAAAGCCAUAUGCGAUCUGUCUGCCCUGAAGUGACUACUUCAUCUCCAACCAGCCCUUGGCUGGCAAAGUCAGGAAGACUCCAGUCUUUCCUGAAGACCAGGGGAGAGUUUAUAACUCUAGCAUCAAAGUCAGCAGCUGUUCAUCUAGAAGACAACUUCCCAAAAGUCAAUGUCUUUGCCUGAAGCUUUUCUUCCCAGAUCUCCUAUGGUGAAACAACCAAAGGGAAGAAGAAUGUGGGCAGCCCUCAGUAAGACAGGAGAUGAGCAUCAACAUUGACCCAUUCUUUCUUCCAGUCCUCGAUGCUUACCUUGUACAUUCUUCUUUGUCUUCCGACUCAGUGCCUUUAGGGUAUGGACGUUGCCUGGUCCCACACAAGCCAAGCAUCAAAUGGAUGGCUCAACAAGGAGGCCAAGACCAGCUAAUGUUUAGUGAGCACCCAAAGGGGCCACACUGGAGAGAACAGCACAGCUCCGUCUGAGAAACAGCUGUUCCUUCCUGCCUGAGAGGCAGAGUGAUAGAAGAUAUCACAGAAUGUUGCUGCUUUGUCUUCCACCCUGAACCCUCCACGACCUCCCUGUAGCUUCCUGAUUUUAAGUAGACAUCAAAUGAUUCUUAAUCCUUUCUGGGUCUUGGAACGAUUUGAAAAUUGUCAACAGUACUGGGAUUCCCAGAAUAAUGCACAUAUGUACAUACUCAGAUAUUCCCCAAGCCCUGGAUAUAAUUUUAAGGGAGUUCACAGACCACACUCCCCCACCCAUCUGUGGACCCAGAUUCUGUGGGUUCGAGAUUCAGAAGCCCUGUUUCUAGGCAGGCCCUCUGUUGCUAACGCCCCUCGAGAACAUCACCCUAGAUGAUUAUCCCUUCUUCCUCCACUCCUUCCCACCUUCUCCAACUGCUGGGUUUCAGCACAAAGAUUGCUUGCCAGUUAAACUGGCACCAUGGACCGCACAGUAGUUGUUUCUUGGGUCUAGAGGAAACAGCCAGAUUCCUUUAAGUAAAUCAUGUCUUAGUUAUUGAUUGUCUCCACUUGAAGUUUUUGACAAUCUCUGAUUAAAUCAUAAACCACUGCA